rnacentral:tRNA from 1 species
CUGGCUGUAGCUCAGCGGAUAGAGCACCUUCUUGACGGAAAGGAUGGUCGUAGGUUCGAAUCCUACCAGCCAGACCA